rnacentral:rRNA from 1 species
UACGUAGGGUGCAAGCGUUGUCCGGAAUUAUUGGGCGUAAAGAGCUCGUAGGCGGUUUGUUGCGUCGGCUGUGAAAUCCCGAGGCUCAACCUCGGGUCUGCAGUCGAUACGAGCAAACUAGAGUAUUGCAGGGGAGACUGGGAAUUCCUGGUGUAGCGGUGAAAUGCGCAGAUAUCAGGAGGAACACCGGUGGCGAAGGCGGUUCUCUGGGCCUUACCUGACGCUGGAGGAGCGAAAGCGUGGGGAGCGAACAGG